rnacentral:rRNA from 1 species
GAUGGGCUCAUGUCCUAUCAGCUUGUUGGCGGGGUAACGGCCCACCAAGGCUGCGACGGGUAGCUGGUCUGAGAGGACGACCAGCCACACUGGCACUGCGACACGGGCCAGACUCCUACGGGAGGCAGCAGUGAGGAAUAUUGCGCAAUGGACGACAGUCUGACGCAGCGACGCCGCGUGGGGGAUGAAGGCCUUCGGGUUGUAAGCCCCUUUCAGGAGGGAAGAUGGGACGGGCAACCGUUCGGACGGUACCUCCAGAAGCAGCCACGGCUAACUCUGUGCCAGCAGCCGCGGUAAGACAGAGGUGGCAAGCGUUGUUCGGAUUUACUGGGCGUAAAGGGUGCGUAGGUGGUUAGGUAAGACCUGUGGGAAAGACCUGGGCUUAACCCAGGAAGGUCGCAGGUGACUGCCUAGCUAGAGGGCGGGAGAGGAGCGCGGAAUUCCCGGUGUAGCGGUGAAAUGCGUAGAGAUCGGGAGG